rnacentral:rRNA from 1 species
UAGGGAAUCUUCGACAAUGGACGGAAGUCUGACCGAGCAACGCCGCGUGAGUGAAGAAGGCUUUCGGAUCGUAAAGCUCUGUUGUUAGAGAAGAACGUUGGUAGGAGUGUAAAAUCUACCUAUUGACGGUAACUAACCAGAAAGGGACGGCUAACUACGUGCCAGCAGCCGCGGUAAUACGUAGGUCCCGAGCGUUAUCCGGAUUUAUUGGGCGUAAAGCGAGCGCAGGAGGUUCUUUAAGUCUGAAGUUAAAGGCAGUGGCUUACCCAUUAUACGCUUUGGAAACUGGAGGACUUGAGUGCAGCAGGGGAGAGUGGAAUUCCAUGUGGAGCGGUGAAAUGCGUAGAGAUCUGGAGGAACACCGGUGGCGAAAGCGGCUCUCUGGUCUGAAACUGACGCUGAGGCUCGAAAGCGUGGGGAGCAAACAGG